GACGAACGCUGGCGGCGUGCCUAAUACAUGCAAGUCGAGCGAAUCUUGAGGUGCUUGCACCUCUUGGUUAGCGGCGGACGGGUGAGUAACACGUGGGCAACCUGCCUGUAAGACUGGGAUAACUUCGGGAAACCGGAGCUAAUACCGGAUAAUCCUUUUCCUCUCAUGAGGGAAAGUUGAAAGUCGGUUUACGCUGACACUUACAGAUGGGCCCGCGGCGCAUUAGCGAGUUGGAGAGGUAACGGCUCACCAAGGCGACGAUGCGUAGCCGACCUGAGAGGGUGAUCGGCCACACGGGGACUGAGACACGGCCCAGACUCCUACGGGAGGCAGCAGUAGGGAAUCUUCCGCAAUGGACGAAAGUCUGACGGAGCAACGCCGCGUGAGCGAUGAAGGCCUUCGGGUCGUAAAGCUCUGUUGUUAGGGAAGAACAAGUACCGGAGUAACUGCCGGUACCUUGACGGUACCUAACCAGAAAGCCACGGCUAACUACGUGCCAGCCGCCGCUGUAACAC
rnacentral:rRNA from 1 species